CCUACGGGAGGCAGCAGUGAGGAAUAUUGGUCAAUGGACGAGAGUCUGAACCAGCCAAGUAGCGUGAAGGAUGACUGCCCUAUGGGUUGUAAACUUCUUUUAUAAAGGAAUAAAACGAGGCACGUGUGCCUUUUUGCAUGUACUUUAUGAAUAAGGAUCGGCUAACUCCGUGCCAGCAGCCGCGGUAAUACGGAGGAUCCGAGCGUUAUCCGGAUUUAUUGGGUUUAAAGGGAGCGUAGAUGGGUUGUUAAGUCAGUUGUGAAAGUGUGCGGCUCAACCGUAAAAUUGCAAUUGAUACUGGCAGUCUAGAGUACAGUUGAGGUAGGCGGAAUGCGUGGUGUAGCGGUGAAAUGCUUAGAUAUCACGAAGAACCCCGAUUGCGAAGGCAGCUUACUAAACUGUGACUGACAUUGAUGCUCGAAAGUGUGGGUAUCAAACAGGAUUAGAUACCCUAGUAGUC
rnacentral:rRNA from 1 species